UACGUAGGGUGCAAGCGUUAUCCGGAAUUAUUGGGCGUAAAGAGCUCGUAGGCGGUUUGUCGCGUCUGCUGUGAAAACUGGGGGCUCAACCCCCAGCCUGCAGUGGGUACGGGCAGACUAGAGUGCGGUAGGGGAGAUUGGAAUUCCUGGUGUAGCGGUGGAAUGCGCAGAUAUCAGGAGGAACACCGGUGGCGAAGGCGGAUCUCUGGGCCGAUACUGACGCUGAGGAGCGAAAGCGUGGGGAGCGAACAGG
rnacentral:rRNA from 1 species